GUGGUGGGGUGUGCUGUGUUUAGUGCGUGUGGGGUGGGGUUGCUGUGUUUAGUGCGUGUGCCGUGUGCAGCAGCCGGCCAGGUCUGCGGACCACUGCUCCCCUGGCCGGGGGGCCGCUGCCUGGUCCAUCUGGACGCUGCCCUGGAGCCCCAGGCCUCGCCCACCGCGUCUGCUGCUCUGCACUCCGCGCGUGUGGAUUAAAGCGGCGCAGAUGCGCGCCCAGCUCAGGGGAACGAAAAUCGCAAGAUUCACUCAGUGAGGCCGCCCCCGCCGUGGCGUCCAGUCCUGGGCCCCCAGGACAGCAGGGCCUGCCCACGGGGGUGCCCGGGGCACCGCUCAGGGGCUGCCUGCUUUCCCUUCCCGGUUACAGACAAACGGAGAAGCUGGGUGGUCCCAGGAGGAGCGGCCCCUCCACCCAGCCCAGCCUCCAGGGCCGUGAGGAGGAGGAGGGGGAGCCCCCAAUCCCCCCCCCCCCCCCCCGUCCCAUGAGCUGGGAUUCCCGGCAUCGCUGGUUUGAGCUCCAGGGGCCCCCCGCCCCGCCCCUCGUUAUCCUCGCGCGACGUGACAGGGCUCCCAUCGGACUUCCACAGCCAGCGUUGGCCCUGACCAUCGGUGGGGCCCCGACUCCGCCUCCUGGCUUCUGCUUUGGUUUUUUGUGUUUGUUUUUAAAUCAUUUAUUUGAAAGGCAGAGUUACAGAGAGAGAGAGAGAGAGAGCGAACGAGAGAGAGCUCUGCCACCUGCUGGUUCACUCCACAAAUGGCUGUAACAGCUGGGGCUGGGCCAGGCCGAUGCCAGGAGCCAGGAGCUGGAGCUCCACCCUGGCCUCCCACGUGGGUGCCGGGCCCUAAGCACUCGGUCGUCCUCCAGUGCCUCCCAGGAACCUGAGCUGGGAGCUGGAUCGGAAGUGGAGCGUCUGGGACCUGAACCGGCGCCCACGUGGGAUGCUGGUGGUGUCUCAAGCGCCGGCCCCUCCUCCUGGCUUCUAACGUGUGAGCUGCCUCCACCACUCCAUGCACCGCUGACGGCCGGACUGGGAGGCCACUCUGUUCCCUUGACCCACAGAAG
rnacentral:lncRNA from 1 species